GUUAUUGUCUGUUUUAUGAUUGUGGGUGGCUUAUACAUUCUCUUUACUCGAUAUUGGUAUCAUAUUUCCUGUUUUUUAUUGAUAUCAUGUUCUUGACUGUAGGUUGAUUAUAUGCAUCUAUCUUUGUGCUAUCUAUUUUACGCUUUAUUGCUGAUUACUUCUUGCUUCAUUCUCUAUUGGUAAUGUUGCCUUUUUGUGAGCUGGUUGUAUCUAAUUAC
rnacentral:lncRNA from 1 species